rnacentral:sRNA from 1 species
CAGACAGCCGCCCGCCCUACCCGCCGCCCUCCGCUUCCUCCUCCCCUCCCUCCUCUCCGCUUUGCUACCGGGACCAACCCCGGAGUCUCCCUGGACUCGCCCCAGGCGGAAGUGAGAGGGGAGAAGAUGGCGCGGGUGGUGCAGGCUGUCUAUUCCGUCCAUCUUGAGUUGGGCGCCUUCCUGGUUUGUCUGAACCACGCCCGUGAGCACCGAGCAGGAUGAGGGGCUGGAAGGACAGCUCAGUGGUUAGCGCCAGCUCCGCUUCCUGAAUGUAUGGCCCGGUGUCCAUGUGACCCCACGUUCCAGUGACUCAGUGAGGGCGACGCUGACGUUGUCUUCUCUUCCCCGCUGCGACUGAGCGACAACAUCAGGUUUUGCUUUUCCAUGAGGACGAGAAUUCUCCCCUAUAGGUCGCACUUUGACGGCUAUACUUACCCAUAUAGGACAGUGGAGCCGGACCCCAGCUCACAGCACAUAUGGAAAUUAGCUACCAACGAGCCCGGGGCGUAAACAUGCAAGACGAGGGCGCAAACGCUUGGGAGAAGAGUGGGUCCUUGUGAUGUUGGCGAAUCAGAAUGCAAUGCACCGGAAAUGGGGUGCCCAGACUGCCUUGGGGGAAUCAGAAUGGAGGCCAGAACCGAUCUUUUUCUUGAAGCACUGCUUACCAGCCAAUUUGGAGGAAAAGAUGGCCCUCCCUCCCUCCCUUUUGACCCAUUUUCCCUCUUCCCCGAUACACU